rnacentral:rRNA from 1 species
GGGCCCGGUUAGUACUUGCAUGGGUGACCGGCUGGGAAUACCGGGUGUUGCCGGCU